rnacentral:tRNA from 1 species
GCGCUCGUAGCUCAACGGACAGAGCGUCUGACUACGACUCAGAAGGCUGGGGGUUCGAAUCCUCCCGGGCGCAC